rnacentral:lncRNA from 1 species
ACCUGAUGGUUCGUGUCGUCCAUUUGUGGUACGUCAAAGAUCUUGAUUCUUGAAAAUUAUCAUUUUCCAUUGAAAUGGAAAUGAUGUACAAGAAUGUAAGUUUUUUUCAACCAAACUCCUUUUUCUUCUUUUUUUAUGUAUUUGAUAUUUUUGCGUUUUUUUAAAAUCAAGCGUACAAGUCCUGUUCAAUAAUCUAUUUUAAUUUUAUAUUUGAUAUUUGAUUUUUAAGGGUGAUCAUAUUCAAGUAUGGGUGAAAGGAAGCUAGCAUUUUAUUAUGGGAGAAACAUGUAAAAUAUCAGGUUAACUUUGUAACCAAUAAAUUAUAAUUCUUAAACGCAACAAUUAUUCGUAAGUUUUUCCUCUAUUUUAUUUUUAAUCUAUUUACCUUUUGAUGUGUGAACAUUCGAGUCAAAGGGUUCAACUGAUUUUGUUUUGCUCUUCUUUUGUUUUUUGAAAUUUAAAGGGGCCAAAAGAUCCAAAAGAAGAUGAUACGAAGAUCAAACAGUAAAGAGAAACUCCCAUAACAUUGUCAACAACUAAAGACUUAACCUCAGUUAUUGUUAGAAGAAUUGUGGUGGAAGGAUUGUGUUCGUGAUAGAAUUUAAG